rnacentral:miRNA from 1 species
GGAAGAAAAACGUCUGGACUUC